AGAUCUCCCAUUCAAACCUUGCUGUUUCCUUGAGACAUGAAGAACAAAAGUCAAAUGACGUCUGGUGGCAUUUGAGAUCCUGCAUAAUCUAGUUCUUGCUACAUUUCCCAAAUUAUUUUUCUUUCUCCUUCCUUUAUUCUCCAGGGCACAUACACAUGCUUCCAAUGUGUGCAGGGGUUCAGAGGAUAGUCUCUAGAGUCAGACUACUUGGGUUUACAUCCCAGCCCCGACACUCACAAGUUGAGAGGUCUUCGACAAGUUACUCAAUCUCUGAGUCUUAGCUUUGACUUCUGUGAAAUGACUAGGAUGUGUCUGCUGUCUCCCAGGGUGACCGUGGGAAUCAGAUGAGCUCACAGUUUUGAGAAAGCAGUGACCUUAAGAUAUUUCUUGCUUCCUGCUAUUAAUGACUCUAUUAUAUAUGUGUCUGUGUGUAUACGUAUGUAUAUACAGAUGUAAUUCAAUCAUGACCCUACUCGAAGUCAGAGUAUAUUCAUCUUAAUGUCACAUCAUAAGACAUGGACUGUGCCUAUUUUGCUAUUCAUGCACUCUUGAUAGAUGCUGAAUAAAACACACUCAACUCAUGCGUGUGUCUUGCAUCAGAUGGUAGUGAUCCUUAACUGGGAGGAAUACUAUUUCCCAGGGUUCGGAAUAGAUAAUUAGGAGUCUGUCAGUGUGAAGCGGUGAAGUACUGCACUCUUUAGCUUUCAGAACUGCAUUUGGGGCCAUAUUAUGAGAUGUGUGUGUGCACUUGGCAACAUUAGAAUUUUGAGACAGAGUGAUCUUUAAAGAUUUCCUCCCUUGCAGCCAGGCGGUGAGGUGACCUGGGCUGCUCCAGAAGCAGUGUUCCUCCAGCCCCUCAUUCAACACAAAUUUAUCAAGCAUCUUCUGUGUAUUAGGGAUGGAGGUGGAAGCAAUGAAGACUCUUGUCAGAGAAAAAUCUGUAUUCCCAUGACCCAGACAUUCUACUGAGAGAAAGAAAACCAGGUUCCGUGAAAUGUUGGACUGGAGAAAUGGUGGAGGCCCAGCAGAUUUUAGAGGUCAGCAUAUUUCAGCAGAGAAGACCACAAUGCAAAGGCCUGAUUGGAAGUGAACAUUGUCAGGAGUGUGGAAACUGAACAGGAUGAAUUGCAUUAACACACGUGAAAUACUCCUGCACAACUCAGGAAAAGUUAGCUAGGACUGUCAUUACUAUUAUUGCUCCAUCCCUGAACAAAAAGACACAUACAGAAGCGGCUUAAAAACAAAGGACAAGAUCAAAGCAGAUGAUAGAUUCAAUCAAUUUUGGAAAAAUGAAAGUCACUAUUGAAAAGCAAAAGCAUAUUAGCCAAAUUGUUAUUUGGUCUCAGGGAAGUCAAAAAUAAAAUUUAAUGUGUUUUUUCUACUUAUCCAGAUUUCUUCACGUCAUACAAGCCUAGACAGGCCAAAUCUUUACAUGCAUUUUAAAUAGGAAAGUAUAAACCUAGACA